rnacentral:tRNA from 1 species
UCCCUGGUGGCUCAGCCGGUAAAGCGUCUGCCUGCAAUGCAAGAGACCUGGGUUCGAUCCCUGGGUCGGGAA